UCGGAGAGGGCGCCUGAGAAACGGCAACCAUGACUACGGUCAGCAGCAGGCGCGCAAAUUGCCCAAUGCUAAUACUAUAGCGAGGCAGCGACGAAAAAUAGUAUUCCUGCGCUCUAUAUGGGCAGCAGGAUGCAAUGGAUUGUAUCUAAUACACACUGCUGAGUAACUAUUGGAGGGCAAGUCUGGUGCCAGCAGCCGCGGUAAUUCCAGCUCCAAGAGCGUAUAUAAACGUUGUUGCGGUUAAAAAGCCCGUAGUUGGAUUUGAGAGCAAAGCUUGUGGUCGCCCCUACUUUCCUUCGGGUUUGUGGGAUUCGCGAUCACGCAUAGGCCUUGCUCUGAAACAUGCGGGAUCGUCCACUGGCUGAAGGCACAUUCACUUGUGUUGGCAACUUCGGAGCGAUCACACUCCUGAAGGUGCGCCCGCAGACGUCACUGUGAGUAAACCAGAGUGUUCAAGGCAACCAUCGUGUGUGGUUGAAUGUUAAAGCAUGGAAUGACAAGGGAUCGACCUUCGGGGCCUCUUUUUGUUGGUUUUUAAGCCUUGUUAGGGGAAUCUAGCGUUCGUUUAUCGGGCAGGCGGUCACGCAAGUGUCGCCAAGUCGGUUCGGUUGCGCACGGGAUCAAUAGGAGCACAGGGGGCCAUGGGUACUGGAGGGUUAGUGGUGAAAUACUUAGACCCCUCCAAGACCGACAUCAGCGAAAGCACUUGGCUAUUGUGCUUUCAUUAAUCAAGGACGAGAGAUCGGGGAUUGAAGAGGAUUAGACACCCUCGUAAUCCGGUCUGUAAAUUCUGCAGACUUGGGAUCGGUCAGUGCUCGCUUCUUAGACCUGAUCGGCACCUUACUCCUCUAUCGAGAAAUCAAAGUUUUUGUGUUCCGGGGGGAGUAUAUUCGCAAGGCUGAAACUUAAAGGAAUUGACGGAGAACCACCACCAGUCGUGGAGUGUGUGGCUUAAUUCGACCCAACACGGGAAAUUUUACCAGGCCAGGACGUGGUAAGGAUUGCCAGAUUGAUAGCUCUUGCAUGAUUCCGCGAAGGGUGGUGCAUGGCCGCUUCUGGUUGGUGAAGUGAUUUGUCUGCUUAAUUGCGUUAACGAACGAGAUCUCUGCCAAUUACUAGAUGCCUGUGUCGUCUUAGGUUGCAGGUCCGGUUGCCCUCGGGUUCCCGUGCAUUGGCGCUGAGACGCAGGACUUUUACUUAUUGGGAUUAUGCAUUCUCAACUGCAUUGAAACAAGAGCCCAAAGCAGGUCUGUGAUGCUCCUAUAUGUUCUGGGCUGCACGCGCACUACACUGAUUCAGCCAACGAGCUUCUGCCGAUUUCGGCAGCCUGGUGCGAAGGCAUUGGGGAAUCUUUUGAGCCUGAGUCGUGAUGGGGAUUGAUGCAUUGUAAUUAUUCUCCAUGAACGAGGAGUGUCUUGUAUCCGCGUUUCAUCAGAACGCAGAGAAUACGUCCCUGGUUCUUGUACACACCGCCCGUCGUUGCCUGUGAUGGAUUGUGAGUAGAGCCAUCUGGAGGUGGUUGCAGGGGCGACUCUGUAACUCGCCGAAAUUUGGCAAUACUCCCAAUCUAGAAGAGGCAAAAGUCGUAACAAGGUAGCCGUA
rnacentral:rRNA from 1 species